rnacentral:rRNA from 1 species
AGCGAACGUUUGCGGCGGGCCUAACACAUGCAAGUCGAACGCACUAGCAAUAGUGAGUGGCGCACGGGUGCGUAACACGUGGGUAAUCAACCCUUCAGCCUGGGAUAACGACUCGAAAGGGUCGCUAAUACCGGAUACGGCGCGAGAGGCUUCGGCUUCUCACGAGAAAGCCACGCAAGGGGCACUGAAGGACGAGCCUGCGGCCCAUCAGCUAGUUGGUGAGGUAAGAGCUCACCGAGGCUAAGACGGGUAGCUGGUCUGAGAGGAUGAUCAGCCACACUGGAACUGAGACACGGUCCAGACUCCUACGGGAGGCAGCAGUGGGGAAUAUUGCGCAAUGGGCGAAAGCCUGACGCAGCCACGCCGCGUGAGCGAUGAAGGCCUUCGGUCGUAAGACUCUGUGGGAGGAGACGAAGAAAGACUGUGAGAGCAGG